AUAUGAUGCGCUGCGUGAUCGACCAAUGAACGAAAUUGAUUUUCAUCGUCUUGUAAAUGUUUUACAUGCUGUU
rnacentral:sRNA from 2 species